rnacentral:rRNA from 1 species
GAUUAAGAUAGUGGCGGACGGGUGAGUAACGCGUAGGAAUCUGCCGUACAGAGGGGGACAACAGUUGGAAACGGCUGCUAAUACCGUAUGAUACCUAAGGGUCAAAGGUUGCUUUUGGGCAGUCGCUGUAUGAUGAGCCUGCGUUGGAUUAGCUAGUUGGUAGGGUAAAGGCCUACCAAGGCGACGAUCUAUAGCUGGUCUGAGAGGACGAUCAGCCACACUGGGACUGAGACACGGCCCAGACUCC